GAUGAACGCUGGCGGCGUGCUUAACACAUGCAAGUCGAACGGGAAAUAUUUCAUUGAGACUUCGGUGGAUUUGAUCUAUUUCUAGUGGCGGACGGGUGAGUAACGCGUGGGUAACCUGCCUUAUACAGGGGGAUAACAGUCAGAAAUGGCUGCUAAUACCGCAUAAGCGCACAGAGCUGCAUGGCUCAGUGUGUGAAAAACUCCGGUGGUGUGAGAUGGAUCCGCGUCUGAUUAGCCAGUUGGCGGGGUAACGGCCCACCAAAGCGACGAUCAGUAGCCGACCUGAGAGGGUGACCGGCCACAUUGGGACUGAGACACGGCCCAA
rnacentral:rRNA from 1 species